ensembl:lncRNA
CACGCCUAGCUCUGCCCACUGGGGCGUGGCUCAUAGCGCUCUCUGGAAUAAGCGCUUGUUUCAAAUAUGUUUAAGUUAACCUCAUUAUUCUUUGCUCGUAUCGUCGUAUUCCACCCGAUCGAGUUCUCAUCACAUCACACCAGAAACAUGGUAUGCUGUCAUUUGACUUUACAACGUUUAUUUUAGAUUCAUUACAGGGCUCCGGAGUGGCGCCUCGGUGCAAGAGGCGUCCCUACAGUCCCUGGUUCGAAUACAGGCUGUAUGACAUCCGGCCGUGAUUGGGAGUCCCAUAGGGCGGCGCACAAUUGGCCCAGCGUCGUCCGGGGUUUUACGGUCAUUGUAAAUAAGAAUUUGGUUAAAUACAAUUACUCAAAAUGACGGCGCCGAAGCAGACACGACUUUUCACAGGGAAAUAGGCUAAUGUUGGUUGAUGAUUCGGACACGCACUUUGAAAAGCGAUGAUGUCGAGGAUUGGGCAGUGCUUCCUGAAGUUCCAUGACCUUUAGGCAAACGCAAAGACUAAAAUUGUUCGGGACUUCUCUAUUUGAACCCCGGACUGCUCGGUGAACCUCACUGAACUGGAUCGGGGUCUUCAAGGACCAAAAACUUUGCUUUGCCAGCUGACGAGCAGGCCCAAGAUCUUCUCUUCAAAGUGCAGAUGCACAAGGUGACAUCGUUUUAAGACUUCUGCCAGUGGUCCUCCCACACCAGUCUACAAGAUUGGCAGGAAGACAUUCCGACCCAGCUUCUAAGAGACCAGAAAGUCCUUCAUUGACUUGCAGCCUGUAAAUUUAAAUAGUCGAUAGGGAGAUGGAUGGGGAAAUUAGAUUAUAGCGUUUGUAAGCCUUGAAUGAACAGAACACCAUUCCAAUAUCUGUUAUGCAGAACGGCACACUCCAAGACAUUGUUGUGUAAAUUAACCUAUAGAUACUGUAGGCAGGCCCCUGAGUAUGGUACAGCCCAUUGCGCAUAUGUUAAAUUGCCUACUUAUAACAUGACAACGGCUGUAUUCAUUUUUACAUUUUUAUUAAUUCUAUAAACAUUUUGUAUGUGCUUGGUUGGUCACUUUUAACAUACUUCCAUGGUGUCUUAAUUAAAUACACUUUCAUCUAAAUGUAAAAUGUUAGCAUGAACAGAUACACUGUCGCAUGGAAGGUACGUCAUGAUUAUCAGCCGAAAAGACGAUUCCAACACUUUCUUAAAUAGCUCUGCUUUUAAGAUGCUGAUAAGCUGUUACGUACCAUUUUGUUUGAACAAUAUUAGGAGAAAAAGACAACCAAAUGAAGUUUCAUCAACUGCACAUGAACCAGGUUAGAAGUACCUCAUGGUUUCUGGCAAUUACGCUGUGAUGAUUAUGAUUGAAAGCUGUGAGCUCCUGUUACUCAAUACAUGUAUGUGUGUUCAAAGCACUUCAUCACUGGUAAGUCGGUAACACUUGUUUGUAUCUCACUAGCUAUGUGUAUUGCACAAAGCUUGCUAGUUAGCUUGUAGUAAGGACUAGUGAGCUGUAUCCAAAUAACAGCUAUAAUAUUCUUCUGCAUUUGGAUAUUUAUGCAAACCUGUAGAUUCCACCAUUUCAAAUUUCGCUACAUAAGACCGGAUUAAGCCGGUAGGUCACAUAUAGGCAAAAAUCCUCUUUUCUAAUUACCUAGACCGUUCAAAGGCAGGCAAAGACUAAGUAUUUACGCGACAUAUCUAAGACUAGCGAAUUAGAUUGAGAUGAACUUCUCUCACUAGAGUUGGCAGGUCGGGGAACACAUUAGCGUGGCAGAAUAAGUAUAAUGUAAAUCACGUUGUUGUGACAGACAAGUAUGUACCUCUUAUGGCUGCAUUCCUUGUUCUCAAUUUCCACCUGAAGACAUACCCUAAUCUAACUUCCUGUAGCUCAGCCCCAGAGGCAAGGAUAUGCAUAUUCUUGGUAUCAUUUGAAUGGAAACAUUCUGAAGUUUGUGGAAAUGUUAAUUGAAUGUAGGAGAAUAUAACACAGUAGAUCUGGUGGAAGAAAAGAGAAAGAAAGAGCAUACGUUUUCUGUUUUUUAUUGUAGUAUCAUCUUUCACAUGUACUAGAAUAGCUGGAGAUAAUUUGUAGGUGUGCAAAGUUUCAGACUGAUAACUUCAGGAAUGGGUGAGCUACAUGACAUUUAGCAUGAAGUCACCCAGGUGUCCCACACAAGUUGCCCAAAUGUACCCAAGUGGCCGAAUUGGUGAAAUUACCUAUAACUAUAUACAACAGUGCAAAUAACUAUAUACAACAUAUCAAAAAGCAAUUCUAACAUACACAAAAAAAAUGUUAAAACAUUUAUUUUCUAACAUUUAAAAAAAAAAAAAACAGUACACCCUUUGGAAGUCCUCUACACAAUAUUUUGCUGCCUGUGCCAUGUCCCAUAGCAGUCUCUUUCUGAUGUAAAGCAGAGGCAAACUGAACAAGUGGUGCAGGUCAUGUGACACAGAACACAACGACACCUCCAUGCUGUGCCCUUUUGGCCCUGAGACACAGUUAUGCCUGCAGUAAUGAACUGUGGCAUAUGAACACCACUGGAGGCAGGAGUAGAGGGGGCAGAGAUAGAGCGGGCAGUUUGGCACCGGGGGCUCCCAGUCGGAGUCGCUAUCACUGUGAAAGAAAACAAGAACAAUAUUUGUAUUGUAU